rnacentral:lncRNA from 1 species
AUCACCGCUCAGGCAGUAAAAACUAAGGAAAAAGAGUAAGUCAUAGAAAGACCCAAGGAGACAAACAGGGGGAAGCAUGAUAAAGGUCAGACCAGCCUAUCACCUAAGAAGGAUCAUCAUUAAGCAAAGGCCAGGAGCCCAGAACGAAGCGAUGAAGACGCCUCGGAAUCCUACAAAGUUAUGGGUCAGAAGCUCAACCCAUUGAUUAAAAGCAAAGCUCACUGGUCGGUUAGUCCAGCUCGGAAAAAGUAAAUUGAAAGCUAAGGGAACUUAGAGCUCGGCUCAUUGAACGCAGACAAAGCUCACAGGUCGGUUAGUCCAGCUCGGAAAAAGUAAAUUGAAAGUUAUGGGUCAAAAGCUCAACCCCUUGAUUAAAAGCCGAGCUCGCAGGUCGGUUAGUCUCGCUG